GGAAUCAGGUGGAUCAGAAGGUGG
rnacentral:siRNA from 1 species